rnacentral:other from 1 species
GGUUUCCUGGAAUGUUCGACAACCCUAUUAAUUUUGAACCUACAUUAUCUUAAACGGGAAUCCUAUAUCACUGAUCGGAUGUCAGACCUCUCGUUGUGGUAGGCAGAAGACCAGCUGCGGAUACCCACCUAGCCGAGUGCUAGGACUCAAAAUAUAGGACCGGCAUCCCGGGACCACA